GAACGGGGAGGAGCCCAGAGCCUGAAUCAGUGUGUGUGUUAGUGGAAGCGUCUGGAAAGGCGCGCGAUACAGGGUGACAGCCCCGUACACAAAAAUGCACAUACUGUGAGCUCGAUGAGUAGGGCGGGACACGUGGUAUCCUGUCUGAAUAUGGGGGGACCAUCCUCCAAGGCUAAAUACUCCUGACUGACCGAUAGUGAACCAGUACCGUGAGGGAAAGGCGAAAAGAACCCCGGCGAGGGGAGUGAAAAAGAACCUGAAACCGUGUACGUACAAGCAGUGGGAGCCUCUUUAUGGGGUGACUGCGUACCUUUUGUAUAAUGGGUCAGCGACUUAUAUUCUGUAGCAAGGUUAACCGAAUAGGGGAGCCGAAGGGAAACCGAGUCUUAACUGGGCGUUAAGUUGCAGGGUAUAGACCCGAAACCCGGUGAUCUAGCCAUGGGCAGGUUGAAGGUUGGGUAACACUAACUGGAGGACCGAACCGACUAAUGUUGAAAAAUUAGCGGAUGACUUGUGGCUGGGGGUGAAAGGCCAAUCAAACCGGGAGAUAGCUGGUUCUCCCCGAAAGCUAUUUAGGUAGCGCCUCGUGAAUUCAUCUCCGGGGGUAGAGCACUGUUUCGGCAAGGGGGUCAUCCCGACUUACCAACCCGAUGCAAACUGCGAAUACCGGAGAAUGUUAUCACGGGAGACACACGGCGGGUGCUAACGUCCGUCGUGAAGAGGGAAACAACCCAGACCGCCAGCUAAGGUCCCAAAGUCAUGGUUAAGUGGGAAACGAUGUGGGAAGGCCCAGACAGCCAGGAUGUUGGCUUAGAAGCAGCCAUCAUUUAAAGAAAGCGUAAUAGCUCACUGGUCGAGUCGGCCUGCGCGGAAGAUGUAACGGGGCUAAACCAUGCACCGAAGCUGCGGCAGCGACACUAUGUGUUGUUGGGUAGGGGAGCGUUCUGUAAGCCUGUGAAGGUGUGCUGUGAGGCAUGCUGGAGGUAUCAGAAGUGCGAAUGCUGACAUAAGUAACGAUAAAGCGGGUGAAAAGCCCGCUCGCCGGAAGACCAAGGGUUCCUGUCCAACGUUAAUCGGGGCAGGGUGAGUCGACCCCUAAGGCGAGGCCGAAAGGCGUAGUCGAUGGGAAACAGGUUAAUAUUCCUGUACUUGGUGUUACUGCGAAGGGGGGACGGAGAAGGCUAUGUUGGCCGGGCGACGGUUGUCCCGGU
rnacentral:rRNA from 1 species